rnacentral:rRNA from 1 species
UACUUCUAUGAUGACGACCCAACCAUAAGUCAUCGUAAGGCGGCCACCAAGCAAUUAGACCAGGAUGUCGUGAAGAAGUUAGUACACAUACUCAAAGAAAACCCGUACUCCCAGCAAUUUAGGAGUUUGGGUGCACACAAGGACAACCUCGACUAUUAUAGGAUAGACCUAAACAUCGAUAAGAGGCUUGACCAAAGAAGAUAUAAUAGACCGUUGUCAUCCGAGGUCGCUGCAAUUUGGGUUGAGGGCAACGACCUAGCAAAAAGGUUUGAUCGGAGGAUAACACUUUGUGGUAACAACAAUGAAAGGCACAGUAUACGUGUGACCUCCGGAGCAUAUGACCCAUUGUCUUAUCCCCUAUUCUAUCCAAGGGGGGAACUAGGUUGGCAUCCGAAGCUACCUAAACAUAAUGUUCCUUGGGAGGUUGAAUUAAAUCCUCAAUUGGGCCUUGAUGAUGACGAUGAUGCAGAGGGGAAUAGCAGGUUGUACGUCUCUGUCAGAGACUACUACUGUUACAUGCUGCAGACACGGCCUGCCAUUUUCAAUCCCAUACUCUGUGGAGCACGCCUGCUGCAGCAAUGGGCGGUCGACAUGUAUGUCAAGAUUGAGAGUUGUCGGUUGAGGUGGUUCAGGAAGAACCAGACGCAGAUUCGGGCCGACUUGUAUAAAGGAGUUGUUGAUGCGAUCACAUCGGGCGAGACGCGAGCAAGCGCUGUUGGGACAAGAAUAGUGCUCCCUGGAACAUACCCUGGUGGUGACCGCGACACGAAAAAG